UGUUCUGUGGCUUAGUUGGUUAAAGCGCCGGUCUAGCGAAUACGGAGUCCUGGGUUCGAAUCCCUUUAGAACGC
rfam:Aedes albopictus isolate Foshan contig73951, whole genome shotgun sequence.